rnacentral:rRNA from 1 species
AUUGAACGCUGGCGGCAUGCUUUACACAUGCAAGUCGAACGGCAGCACGGGGGCAACCCUGGUGGCGAGUGGCGAACGGGUGAGUAAUACAUCGGAACGUGCCCAGUAAUGGGGGAUAGCCCGGCGAAAGCCGGAUUGAUACCGCAUACGCCCUGAGGGGGAAAGCGGGGGACCGAAAGGCCUCGCGUUAUUGGAGCGGCCGAUGGCAGAUUAGCUAGUUGGUAGGGUAAAGGCCUACCAAGGCGACGAUCAGUAGCUGGUCUGAGAGGACGACCAGCCACACUGAGACUGAGACACGGCCCAGACUCCUACGGGAGGCAGCAGUGGGGAAUUUUGGACAAUGGGCGAAAGCCUGAUCCAGCAAUGCCGCGUGUGCGAAGAAGGCCUUCGGGUUGUAAAGCACUUUUGUCAGGAACGAAAAGUUUGGCUCUAAUACAAUCGGACGAUGACGGUACCUGAAGAAUAAGCACCGGCUAACUACGUGCCAGCCGCCGCAGUAAUAC